GUUGAAUUUUUUUCUGUAACCUGCCUCAUUACUUUAUACGUCAACAAGCACAUGCAUGCAGUUGCAACCAUGCAUGGAUCAGAUCUUUAUUGAGAUACGAUACCACAUGAUCCACUGUGUUUCCGGUCAUUGUUGCAACUUCAUACCUUUCAAUCCGGAAUGUGUUCCAAUGCAUCACUGAUUCCAGAACAAGUAAAACAUCUCAUGGUUCAUUCAUGUAUAUCUUAUUCUACCUUUGAUUUCUAGACUUAUUGUCUACUACCAAAUCAACACCUCAAACAUUUGAGAGUAACUUUACCACCGUGGAGCCAAAGGAAUCCCAUCUCAGUCACUUGAUUCCAGUGCCAUGUUAAAACCGAUGUUAUAUUAGCAUGAAUGCAAAUAAUUACAUUAACACACUACUGCUCAUUACAGAUACAGCUUGAAAUUUCUCCCGUUUCUUCAGCCCCUUGUCAAAGGUGACAUCCUUAUCUUGGGUCCACUUAAAUAAUGUGUCUCACUAUUUAACUUAAUCUUUGCUAAUGCCAUAAUGUCCAGGAUAUCAUAGUACAUUAGUAAUAUGGGCCCUCAAUCCUGCAGUAUAUGUUUACAGCCCUUUUACGUUACCUUAAAAUGCUAGACUAUAAUCUCAUGAUCAAAAAUAUUUUGAUCCCGAGUUUUGUACUUGUAAAUUCAGUGCUCAUUUUUCCUAUAUCUGUUUGGAUAGUUUAGUAGAAUUGUUGCUCAAAACAUGCCCUAUACUUGGAUGUGUUUGAUCGAUCCAUUCCAUUCCUUUUUUACCCUGGUAGAGUGGUAGUGCAUACUGAUGCAAACUGUAUUAGGAACUUUUCAAAGCAGUAGCUAUACAUAGCAUCGGACUAGUUUUUCCUUUGGUCAUUGUUUAAAUUUGAGGUCAUUUUUAGUAUAGUGGCAACCAGGUACCAAGUCUUGAUUUGGUCUCACUGCAAAGUCCUUGCUCUGUAUCUCAAUCUUUACAUCCUGCGAAUAAAACACAUUUUUGUUCAGGUCAAUAAAACCUCGAGGAAAAAAAAAUUGAACAGGAUUUCACAAUCAGUUGUUGGUUUACGUCUUCUCAUUGGUCUAUGAGAGUGAACCACUGGAACUUGGGGACAAGAUGAACAUGUACCUUACACAAUCUGUCCACUAUAGUUGCAGUAUUUCAUGACAAGCCUCAAAGUGUUAACCAACCAUGUAAUAACAUUUUUUUUGCCAUUGAAUGUAAUGAUUUAGAGACUAACUCCAUGAACAAUUACAUCGUUGAAGUUUAUCUAUGAGCUGACAAAGUCAAGCCAACUGGUGCUAGCAGUUUGCAGUUGGUUUUGUAUUAAUCUCUAAUGGGUUGUCUUCCUUUUUUUUAACCUUCCCUUUCAUCUCUGUGAUCUGAAUAUCUGACUGAGGCAGAUGACGAGCCAGUUUCUGGACCAAUGAAAACUAAUUCGACAAACAAUCAUAAAGACAAGAACUUGCGUCAGAGAAACACCAACUAAUCCUUGGUUAUCAGAACUUUGAAUUUCUGAAGAUCAUUAUCAAAUAGCAUGGCUAUCAGUCAAGGACUCUGGAGAUUGUUGGUCUGAAUGGAUGGGUUUUGACCUUCCCACUGUCUAAGCAGGAAUAAGAUGGCUGUGCGAAGCAUGUUUUGCCUUAUUCAAUCUCUUCUAAAGAAUAAAGUAUUAAAAAGAUUGCUUUGCAAAUUUAUUUCUGAUUAUUUCAAAUCGAUAGGGUGUACUUUGAGUGCUUGAUAUGCUAUUUAUUGAUGCUUGAUUGUCUUCCCCCACCCUCCUCCACCCCUUCUUCUUCCUGCGUUUCUGUUUAUGUGGAUGCAUGCAAUGUUUAUUAUUUCUCGUGUGCUCAUUCAUACACUGUUCAUCACGUGGCACUCCUAACUCCAUGAUUCCUUUUGUUCUGUCCUGGAACACUUGCUAAAUAACUGCAUCACUCAUAUGGUAUUUGAUUUGAAUUUGUAUAUAUUGCAAAUGUUAGUGUCCAGCAAAUCAGAAGCAUAUAAAUAAAUGAUGUAUUGCACUGACCUGGUAGAGGUUAAGGCUAAAGUAUAUAUAUCUCUUCCACUGCCAUUUCAUGAGCCCUAUUCUUGAUGUCACAUUCUAGCACAGUCAUUGCAUGGUAGUUUUCUAUGCAAGCUUGAAAAAGCAAUUUAUUAUCUGUCUCCUUUUCUCCUUUCAAAUUACUGUUCUGAAAUCCGCCCUGUGUUUCGUUUGGACACUAAUAAAACUUUAAUGUUGUGACUUUCUUUCAAAAGUAAUUUUGGGUGUGUAAAUGCAUGAGAUUGCACAUUUACCUGUGGUUAUUAUAAUCAUUAAUAUAACUCCAUGUACAGUAUGUUGACCCACUGAUUUUUAAAAAUAAACAAUGACAUUGAAAA